rnacentral:rRNA from 1 species
GACGGAGGAUGCAAGCGUUAUCCGGAAUUAUUGGGCGUAAAGCGUCCGCAGGUGGACAUACAAGUCUGCUGUCAAAGUGCAGAGCUUAACUCUGUAAAGGCGGUGGAAACUGUAGGUCUUGAGUAUGGUAGGGGUAGAGGGAAUUCCCGGUGUAGCGGUGAAAUGCGUAGAUAUCGGGAAGAACAUCGGUGGCGAAGGCGCUCUGCUGGACCAUAACUGACACUCAGGGACGAAAGCUGGGGGAGCGAAUGGG